GUGCUUGCUCCAGCAGCAUAUACACUAAAAUUGGAAUGAGACAGAGAAUAUUACCAUGGCCCCUGCACAAGGAUGACCCACAAAUUUGUGAAGUGUUCCAUAUUUUU
ensembl:snRNA U6 U6 spliceosomal RNA